rfam:Dethiosulfatibacter aminovorans DSM 17477 genome assembly, contig: EJ55DRAFT_scaffold00022.22
UCAACGAAUCUAAGAUUCCUGAUAUUCAAUCAGGUUAUGAGAGCAUGGCUACAACUAUGAUGUGUGCAUUGUCAGGAUGCAAUUAUAUACAUGACGCUG